rnacentral:rRNA from 1 species
UUAAGCGACUAAGCGUACACGGUGGAUGCCCUGGCAGUCAGAGGCGAUGAAGGGCGUGCUAAUCUGCGAUAAGCGCCGGUAAGGUGAUAUGAACCGUUAUAACCGGCGAUACCCGAAUGGGGAAACCCAGUGUGAUUCGUCACACUAUCAUUAACUGAAUCCAUAGGUUAAUGAGGCGAACCGGGGGAACUGAAACAUCUAAGUACCCCGAGGAAAAGAAAUCAACCGAGAUUCCCCCAGUAGCGGCGAGCGAACGGGGAGGAGCCCAGAGCCUGAAUCAGCAUGUGUGUUAGUGGAAGCGUCUGGAAAGGCGCGCGAUACAGGGUGACAGCCCCGUACACAAAAGCGCAUGUGCUGUGAGCUCGAUGAGUAGGGCGGGACACGUGGUAUCCUGUCUGAAUAUGGGGGGACCAUCCUCCAAGGCUAAAUACUCCUGACUGACCGAUAGUGAACCAGUACCGUGAGGGAAAGGCGAAAAGAACCCCGGCGAGGGGAGUGAAAAAGAACCUGAAACCGUGUACGUACAAGCAGUGGGAGCCCCACCACUAAGCCAGUGGUGAACUCCACAUCCGCAUCCUUUGCUGAGGAUACGGUUAACGGAGCGAAAGCGACGUUCAACCGCAAAACAAGCAGAGGGGGCUUAGUGGUGGGGUGACUGCGUACCUUUUGUAUAAUGGGUCAGCGACUUAUAUUCUGUAGCAAGGUUAACCGAAUAGGGGAGCCGGAGGGAAACCGAGUCUUAAUUGGGCGUUAAGUUGCAGGGUAUAGACCCGAAACCCGGUGAUCUAGCCAUGGGCAGGUUGAAGGUUGGGUAACACUAACUGGAGGACCGAACCGACUAAUGUUGAAAAAUUAGCGGAUGACCUGUGGCUGGGGGUGAAAGGCCAAUCAAACCGGGAGAUAGCUGGUUCUCCCCGAAAGCUAUUUAGGUAGCGCCUCGUGAAUUCAUCUCCGGGGGUAGAGCACUGUUUCGGCUAGGGGGCCAUCCCGGCUUACCAACCCGAUGCAAACUGCGAAUACCGGAGAAUGUUAUCACGGGAGACACACGGCGGGUGCUAACGUCCGUCGUGAAGAGGGAAACAACCCAGACCGCCAGCUAAGGUCCCAAAGUCAUGGUUAAGUGGGAAACGAUGUGGGAAGGCCCAGACAGCCAGGAUGUUGGCUUAGAAGCAGCCAUCAUUUAAAGAAAGCGUAAUAGCUCACUGGUCGAGUCGGCCUGCGCGGAAGAUGUAACGGGGCUAAACCAUGCACCGAAGCUGCGGCAGCGAACGUAUCACUUAAAGCGAUUCAGCGGGUUACGAUUGACGGAGCGAAGCGACGUCAAAGCGUAUACAAAGUCGAGUCGGUUUAAGGAUACGUUCGUUGGGUAGGGGAGCGUUCUGUAAGCCCGUGAAGGUGGCCUGUGAGGGUUGCUGGAGGUAUCAGAAGUGCGAAUGCUGACAUAAGUAACGAUAAAGCGGGUGAAAAGCCCGCUCGCCGGAAGACCAAGGGUUCCUGUCCAACGUUAAUCGGGGCAGGGUGAGUCGACCCCUAAGGCGAGGCCGAAAGGCGUAGUCGAUGGGAAACGGGUUAAUAUUCCCGUACUUGGUGUUACUGCGAAGGGGGGACGGAGAAGGCUAUGUUGGCCGGGCGACGGUUGUCCCGGUUUAAGCGUGUAGGUGUGUGUUCCAGGUAAAUCCGGUUCACUUUAACACUGAGGCGUGAUGACGAGGCACUACGGUGCUGAAGCAACAAAUGCCCUGCUUCCAGGAAAAGCCUCUAAGCAUCAGGUAACAUCAAAUCGUACCCCAAACCGACACAGGUGGUCAGGUAGAGAAUACCAAGGCGCUUGAGAGAACUCGGGUGAAGGAACUAGGCAAAAUGGUGCCGUAACUUCGGGAGAAGGCACGCUGACACGUAGGUGAAGUGAUUUACUCAUGGAGCUGAAGUCAGUCGAAGAUACCAGCUGGCUGCAACUGUUUAUUAAAAACACAGCACUGUGCAAACACGAAAGUGGACGUAUACGGUGUGACGCCUGCCCGGUGCCGGAAGGUUAAUUGAUGGGGUCAGCGCAAGCGAAGCUCCUGAUCGAAGCCCCGGUAAACGGCGGCCGUAACUAUAACGGUCCUAAGGUAGCGAAAUUCCUUGUCGGGUAAGUUCCGACCUGCACGAAUGGCGUAAUGAUGGCCAGGCUGUCUCCACCCGAGACUCAGUGAAAUUGAACUCGCUGUGAAGAUGCAGUGUACCCGCGGCAAGACGGAAAGACCCCGUGAACCUUUACUAUAGCUUGACACUGAACAUUGAGCCUUGAUGUGUAGGAUAGGUGGGAGGCUUUGAAGUGUGGACGCCAGUCUGCAUGGAGCCGACCUUGAAAUACCACCCUUUAAUGUUUGAUGUUCUAACGUGGACCCGUAAUCCGGGUUGCGGACAGUGUCUGGUGGGUAGUUUGACUGGGGCGGUCUCCUCCUAAAGAGUAACGGAGGAGCACGAAGGUUGGCUAAUCCUGGUCGGACAUCAGGAGGUUAGUGCAAUGGCAUAAGCCAGCUUGACUGCGAGCGUGACGGCGCGAGCAGGUGCGAAAGCAGGUCAUAGUGAUCCGGUGGUUCUGAAUGGAAGGGCCAUCGCUCAACGGAUAAAAGGUACUCCGGGGAUAACAGGCUGAUACCGCCCAAGAGUUCAUAUCGACGGCGGUGUUUGGCACCUCGAUGUCGGCUCAUCACAUCCUGGGGCUGAAGUAGGUCCCAAGGGUAUGGCUGUUCGCCAUUUAAAGUGGUACGCGAGCUGGGUUUAGAACGUCGUGAGACAGUUCGGUCCCUAUCUGCCGUGGGCGCUGGAGAACUGAGGGGGGCUGCUCCUAGUACGAGAGGACCGGAGUGGACGCAUCACUGGUGUUCGGGUUGUCAUGCCAAUGGCACUGCCCGGUAGCUAAAUGCGGAAGAGAUAAGUGCUGAAAGCAUCUAAGCACGAAACUUGCCCCGAGAUGAGUUCUCCCUGAGACUUAGAGUCUCCUGAAGGAACGUUGAAGACGACGACGUUGAUAGGCCGGGUGUGUAAGCGCAGCGAUGCGUUGAGCUAACCGGUACUAAUGAACCGUGAGGCUUAACCU